CGGGGGGGGGCAAGCGUUGUUCGGGAAUUACUGGGGCGUAAAGGGCGCGCAGGCGGCCUGGCCAGUCCUACGUGAAAUCCCACAGCUCAACUGUGGAAUUGCGUGGGAUACUGCCAGGCUUGAGUCCGGGAGAGGAGAGUGGAAUUCCCAGUGUAGCGGUGAAAUGCGUAGAUAUUGGGAGGAACACCGGUGGCGAAGGCGGCUCUCUGGACCGGCACUGACGCUGAGGCGCGAAAGCUAGGGGAGCAAACGGGAUUAGAUACCCCGGUAGUCCUAGCCCUAAACGAUGAGCACUUGGUGUGGCGGGUAUCGACCCCUGCCGUGCCGAAGCUAACGCAUUAAGUGCUCCGCCUGGGGAGUACGGUCGCAAAGGCUG
rnacentral:rRNA from 1 species